rnacentral:rRNA from 1 species
UACGUAGGCAGCGAGCGUUGUUCGGAGUUACUGGGCGUAAAGAGUGCGUAGGCGGUUUUCUAAGUUUGGUGUGAAAUCUCCCGGCUUAACUGGGAGGGUGCGCCGAAAACUGGAAGGCUUGAGUAUGGGAGAGGUAAGCGGAAUUCCUGGUGUAGCGGUGAAACGCGUAGAUAUCAGGAGGAACACCUGCGGUGUAGACGGCUUACUGGACCAUAACUGACGCUGAGGCACGAAAGCGUGGGUAGCAAACAGG